UACAGAGGGUGCGAGCGUUGUCCGGAAUCACUGGGCGUAAAGGGCGCGUAGGUGGCGACCCAAGUCUGUGGUGAAAGCUCGACGCUCAACGUCGAGUCGGCCAUAGAUACUGGGUUGCUUGAGCACUGUAGAGGCAGAUGGAAUUCCAGGUGGAGCGGUGAAAUGCGUAGAGAUCUGGAAGAACACCAAAGGCGAAGGCAGCGUCCUGGCUCGUAACUGACGCUCAUGUGCGAAAGCUAGGGGAGCGAACGGG
rnacentral:rRNA from 1 species